rnacentral:lncRNA from 10 species
GUACCAAGGCUGGAGGGCCUGGGCCCUGGUCAGGCCAGCACAAGGGCAAAGGGAGACCACUCUGGUGGAAAAGCCCAAGAGGUGCUAAGCGGUCUCUGGGGAAUGGGACCCCGCGGUGGAGGGCAAGAUCCCAAACCAAGGCUGGGCUACAGGGUAGAGGUGCCAGGGACGCGACCGCACUGCAGCACACCCACCUGCUUCUCAAUCACUGUGCAGGGAGGGUAGUGGCACUCAUAGUAGGUGCAAGAGUUCUCCUCCUCUUCCACUACAUCCCCGUUGGCAUUAUAAUACCGGGUCACAUUUAGGACAGGAAACUGUUCUUCUAUAGGGUCUGUAGGCAGCUGCUGAAUUGCAAGCCAAUACAAGCUUUGCUCCCUUAAAGAAAGAAGCAGACACUUGAGUGCACUCUGGCCAAACGGGGCCAGCACACAGCAGACGAUGCAAUGACUCCAUAGAGUGCCAUCCUGCCCAGGACACCCAGCCCGAGUUUGAGUCUCCUUUGGCCCAUCCCUGCUGCAUGUGCUUUUCACCACCUGACAGUAAAUAUUGUGUCUCAUCUUCCCACUAACCCGUAAGCAUGGCCUCAUCUAUCACCCUCUCCCCAGCACCUGGGACUGACAGGCACACAGUAGGCAGGAGACAGGGCCCAGGUCAGGCCCCUGUGCAAAGCGAGGCGGCCCCUCUCCUUGCCCUUGACCUGCAGAGGUGCCCAUUACUGCCCCGUCGGUCCACUUCCCCUUCCAUACCGGGAGCUGCCCUACGUCCGUCUAAAAACUCCUCCUGCUUGAGUAGGCCAGAUGCCUACAACGGGAGAGUUCUACCAAGAACGGAGCCUCAAAGGCAUGUGCACUGGCUGCUCAGAGGCAAGCGUGGGCAGCCCCAGCCCUGCUGCAUCACGGAGUAAAGAAGCUGCAUAAACCACCCCACCAACCCCGUUCUCCGAAGCCAGACCCUGAGGAGACUUGGUUAAAACGGGGAAGGAUCAGGACAUGGGAAGAUGUUGGUGAGGUCCCACCAGACAGAGGCAAGUUUCAGACACUGCUGGCUUCUGAAGACAGAACAGGAAAACACCCCUUUGCCAAGAGGCCCCUUUUGUGGGGGCUGAGCUGACACAGUGCCAGGAAAGCAAAGCAAUAGCCCAGGCCUGACAAAGACAGGGUGACCCCACCACAAAGAGCCGGACCACAGGGAGGCCACAGACUGGGAUCCAGACGGACGCACAGCACCCAGCCAGUCAACAAAGACAGGGUGACCCCACCACAAAGAGCUGGAUCACAGGAGGCCACAGACCAGGAUCCAGACGGACACACAGCACCCAGCCAGACAGGAUGUCAGGCCCACACUGGCCAGCUCUGACUUCUGCUCGGGGCCUGGGGUGCUGACCCAGCACAAGAGGCCCAACACCUGCUGGGUUCUAAAACCCCAUGUUGGCAAACCAAAGAUGGCUGAGCCUGAUCAGUCCUGAGCCACCCCAGGCCCACCUCCUGUAGCAGGGGGUUGUGUAAGGCAGCAGCCCCAGCGCAACUCGUCCUGCUGUGCCCUCAGAGAAUGGGCAUCCUGCCGUGCCCACAGAGAAUGGGCUGACCAGGAGCAUCAGCCCAACACCCCCUUUCCAAACGGCUGUUCUUAACGGCAGUUAUCUCCUCUCCUGAUUAUAAAGGGUGCUGAGAGGAUUCAAGGUAACAUUCAGUCACAGGCUGGCCGGACCCUGAGUCUUGUUGAGAACCGGCUGAAAUGACCCGCACCAUGGCAGGGACAGAAGGCAUUGCCAGGUGGAGUGGUGAGCAGCGGGCGAACUUGCGGAGUUGGGAAGGGCCCAUCCCAGCAUCAACACUGAGCAUGUAUCAAUGUGGGACAACGCAGGAGGAGAUGCUACAGAUGCUGCUCUGCCUGCCAAGCACGCCUUCCCCUUCCCCUUCCCUUUUCAUGUAGAAAAGUGAUUCUAAGCAAGCUAACUACAGUUCAUCCCAGGGCUUCCCCAGACACCACUAGAACAGGGUGCCUGCUUCAGUCCGCAAGUGCUAGGUAGUGCCCAUGCCGCCUCCCAGAGAGGAGCCGGGAGUGGGGGCGCAGAGCUGGAGGCAGCAGCAUCCCUGGCUCUCCACAUUUCAGUCAGGAUACCAAAAUGUACCCUAUUUUUGUUUCAGCCAAAUUGACCUUUGUUUCUGUUUCUUGCAACCCAAAGUUCCAACUAACAUAAUCCCCGAAAGAAUAAAAACCCCAUUCAACAAUCGU